AUUGAACGCUGGCGGCAGGCCUAACACAUGCAAGUCGAACGAGUGGCGGACGGGUGCGUACUGUCUGGGAAACUGCCCGAUGGAGGGGGAUAACUACUGGAACCGGUAGCUAAUACCGCAUCCCAUCGGAUGUGCCCAGAUGGGAUUAGCUAGUAGGGGGGGUAACGGCUCACCUAGGCGACGCUCCCUAGCUGGUCUGAGAGGAUGACAAGCCAAACUGGAACUGAGAGACGGUCCAGACUCCUACGGGAGGCAGCAGUGGGGAAUAUUGGACAAUGGGCGCAAGCCUGAUGCAGGCAUGCCGCGUGUAUGAAGAAGGCCGUCGGGUUGUAAAGUACUUUCAGCGAGGAGGCGUUACUCGCAGAAGAAGCACCGGCUAACUCCGUGCCAGCAGCCGCGGUAAUUC
rnacentral:rRNA from 1 species